rnacentral:rRNA from 1 species
GACGAACGCUGGCGGCGUGCUUAACACAUGCAAGUCGAACGAUGAACCCGGAGCUUGCUCUGGGGGAUUAGUGGCGAACGGGUGAGUAACACGUGAGUAACCUGCCCUGGACUCUGGGAUAAGCGUUGGAAACGACGUCUAAUACCGGAUAGGACCUUGGAUCGCAUGAUCUGGGGUGGAAAGUUUUUUCGGCCUGGGAUGGACUCGCGGCCUAUCAGCUUGUUGGUGAGGUAAUGGCUCACCAAGGCGUCGACGGGUAGCCGGCCUGAGAGGGUGACCGGCCACACUGGGACUGAGACACGGCCCAGACUCCUACGGGAGGCAGCAGUGGGGAAUAUUGCACAAUGGGCGAAAGCCUGAUGCAGCAACGCCGCGUGCGGGAUGACGGCCUUCGGGUUGUAAACCGCUUUUAGUAGGGAAGAAGGGCUUCGGCUUGACGGUACCUGCAGAAAAAGGACCGGCUAACUACGUG